rnacentral:lncRNA from 1 species
UUGGCUAAUCUGAAGAGUCUCAGUCAACGGAGACUCUGCUGAAGAGUCCCACUUGAUGGAGACUUUAGAGAAGAGUCCCACUAGACUUGGACUCUAUCUUUAAUGGAGGAUUAAUUAGUGAUUAGAUCACUAAUUAGCUCAACUUAAUUAAGCAUUAAAGUCUGGAUCAAGUCUGAUUGAAUUUGAUUUAAUCAAGUCAAGUCUGAUUAGGUUAUGAGAUGAUCUAAUCGAUAAGAGAGAAAUGAUCCUGAUUUGAUUGGAUCUAUGGCUCAAUUAAUUUAUUAAUUUGAUCAAAUUUAAUUAAGGU